rnacentral:tRNA from 1 species
GCUGUGGUGGUUCAGUGGUAGAACUCCUACCUUCCACGUGGGAGACCUGUGUUAGAUUUCUGGUCAAUGCA